UCGUAUUCGAUUGGGUGCCUGGAUUUAUGAGAAAUCCUUCCUCAUCCUAGAUCGUUUCAAAGCUCUCUAAUCGUUCGAUACAUCGGGUUUCAUCCUGGAGAAAUUCGAUCUGCAAGCUCGGUCCGUAUCGGUUCGCUAAGCAAUCUGCCGAUGCUCGACGUCAUAUAGGAUUUGAUUUCUCAUCUAGUGGCCUUGUCGUCAUCGGGUUAUGGUAUUCGGAUCCUAAAAGGCUGUGAUUUUCUCAUUGGAGGCUUCAUCUUCGUCAGAUCGUGGCAGAUUCCUCCUUUUUGAAGGUUUUUGAUUGAAUCAGUUUGAGAAGCAGACAUUCAAAGCACUAAUCUUGUUUGAUCUCUUAUCAAUUUGGAGCGAUUGUGUACUAGAUAUUUGACAAAAUGGGAUUUGAGGCUUUUGAAUUGUGAUGCGUACCAGAUGUUCAAUGAAAUGCCAAAGGGAGACAUGCAUGGGAUGUGUACUGGAUGUUCAACGAAAUGGGAUUUGAGGCUUUUGAAUUGUGAUGCGUACCAGAUGCUCAAUGAAAUGCCAAAGGGAGACAUGCAUGGGAUGUGUACUGGAUGUUCAACGAAAUGGGAUUUGAGGCUUUUGAAUUGUGAUGCGUACCCGAUGUUCAAUGAAAUGCCAAAGGGAGACAUUCAUGCCAAAUGUUUGAUAUGAUAACUCAUAGAAACUUGGUAUUUUCUUGUUGUUUGUGCUCCAUGUGAUUCCAACUCCAUACCAAGGAAAGAACAAUUAGCAUGUUAUUUUUUAGUGGUAUUGGACAUUUUAAUUGCGACCUUGCUUUGCAUCCUCUAAUGCUUUUAUUUACUGUUCAAUGCAGGGAUAUGUGUGCUCAACAUGGCAAAGUAGGCAUUUUCAAUAACGAUGGGAAAAACUGAUGCAGGCUAAUGCAGGGGGUUUUGGCAUAGUUGAUGUAAGCUGAAGCAGGGGGUUUUGGCAUAGGAUGAGAAUUGGAUGCUAGGAAAUUCACUUCUAUUUGUUUUCUUAAAAAUCUGUGUGAAUUUUCUACUCAUGAGAUUUUUUCUACUUGAAAGAAAGGGAGUUUGUAAUGCAGGGGCAAGUGGUUAAUUGUCCUGCAUCAGUUUGGAAUUUAGUUCUGUCAAUUAGUUUGUCGUUCUCUGGUCAGAUAGGUGAUGGAUUUUAAUUGAGCAGAAGAUAGAGUUCUAGAUGAAGGUCUUAAGUCGAACCAGAAGAUAAGAGUGAAAUAAAAUUAUAUGAUAAACACUUUAGAUGAAGCAGAGCAGCUUGCUGAACGUUCAAUCUGGAAAGAAUUGGUCUGAACUAUUAAGUUGUCAAAAUUCAAAAUUGGCUAAAACUUAAUUUGUAGUCUAACAUCGAUGUUCUGAACACAUCUUAAUGGUUCAGAUUGUGAUUUUGAUCAAUGGAUCAUAAAGAUUUGAUCACCCCUCCCCCUCCAAACAGAAAGACAAGGACAAAAAAUCAUCGGCCCAGUAGCUGUAUCUGUUUGUGUCUGUUGUGGCUCACAAUAAAACCCUUAUUUAGAAGCUUACUGGUUUUGCAUUGAUUGCUUGCCAAAAUGUAUAAGCUGAAAAAAAAGUUCUCAAAUAUUCUUUUGCAGGGAAGGCAUUAUCAUGGAGAGCUAGAGAAUCUACACCAGGCUAUGUCAUGGGUUAUAAUGGCAGUCAAUUAUGGGACACUGCUUUCACUAUUCAGGCAAUAAUCUCAACUAGCCUUCUUGAGGAAUUUGGUCCAACUCUUAAGAAAGCGCAUGAGUACAUAAAGAAUUCGCAGGUUUUGGAAGACUGCCCUGGUGAUCUUAGUUUCUGGUAUUGUCACGUUUCUAAAGGUGCAUGGCCUUUCUCAACUAGAGAUCAUGGAUGGUCCAUAUCAGAUUGCACUGCAAAAGGUUUAAAGGCUUCACUCUUGUUGUCGCAGAUUCCAUCAAAAACUGUUGGUGAACCAAUCGAUGCAAAUAGAUUGUACGACGCGGUGAAUGUCAUUCUUUGACUACACGAAUUCGGAUGCCAAGAAGACAUGAUGUUCUGUGGUGUGUUUGAUGGCCAUGGCCCUUGGGGACACUAUGUAGCAAAAAGGGUCAGAGAAUCACUACCAUCGUCUCUGCUUUGCAAUUGGCAGGAGACUGUUGCUAUGAGCUCAAUUACAUCAGAAUUCCUUUUGGAAUCUAAUAAAAUGAUUAAUCGAUUUGACAUUUGGAAGGAAUCCUAUUUGAGAACUUAUUGAAAUGAGUGAUUCACUUGGGCAAAUGAAUCAUAACCUUGAAGGUUUGAAGAGUGAUCUGAAUGAAGUUACUAAGGGUAGGGAUUGCCUUGAUUCUGAGGUACUUGUCUUGAAAGAGCAGCUAGAAAUGGCACAAGCUUUUGCUGAAGAAAAUGAAGCAAUUGCUACAGAAGCUCGACAGAUGGCUGAGGCAAGGAAGAACUAUGCCGAAGAGGAGGAGGAGGUGAAGCUAUUAGAGAAGUCUGUGGAAGAGCUAGAAUAUACCGUAAAUGUAUUGGAAAAUAGGGGGGAGCAUGUCAAAGGGGAGGCUGAAAUGCAACGGUUGCAGAGAGAGGAGCUAAAAGGGGACCCUACUGAAACAGUUCAUGUGGAAGGCUAUGUGGUAGUUCAUGUGCAAUUGUAUUUUGUUUUGAAAACUUUAAAUAGACCAUUAAUUGUUUUGUUGAUAUUGUGCUGAUUGUUGUCUUGAUGAAUGUUAAAUGGGUGAAAUAUGCA